GUGAUAUGGAUGGAUUUACAUUUACUCCUUUAUUUCGCUACUGUGGAAAAAGUUUAGUGAUGCAGGUUUCUGCUCAAAGCAAAGCAAUGGUGAGCGAUUUUAUCGAGCUGAAUGUGAAGUUCGACCUGACCCGGAAAGCGAUCGAUGACAAGGCUCGGCUCGAGGAGCUCAAGACCAAACUGUCUAUCAUGUGACCGGUGAUCAAGAUGUUCUCCUGCCCGAUGCAGAAGCAUCCGCUCUGUCAGAGCGAAAUCAUCCAGCUGGCAUAUCUAAUUCGGUCAUUUUUCGCCUAGGAUCCGCGUAUUGAUAACUAUGUGUUGAUGCGAAAUACGCUCGAGAAGCCGUCCCUGCCCCGGGAGUACGCGCUCGAGGAAUCUGCGGAAGCAGUGAUGAAAUAGUUUCUGAAGGAAAAUUAUGUUGUUCUAAUCGUAAAGAUUCAUACUGCAAUGGUGGAAUAAAAAGACACUCUAGAAUAGAUGGAUUAUCUCGUAGGCUAAUUCUAAGAAAAUCACAGGAAGUGAAUAAAUAAUUGAGUAGUGCCCUUAGCUUACGAAAUGUUUUUUAUUGGUUCAUUCAAAUUCUAUUGGAAAUAUGUGGCAACAGAGUGUAUGGAUUGAAUAAUACUGUUUGUGUAAGUUUGGAAAUAAAACAAUUUAUAUAUAUGGAUAUGGAUAAAUA